GUAGGUGGCAAGCGUUGUCCGGGAAUUAUUGGGGCGUAAAGCGCGCGCAGGCGGUUCUUUAAGUCUGAUGUGAAAGCCCACGGGCUCAACCGUGGAGGGUCAUUGGAAACUGGAGAACUUGAGUACAGAGGAGGAAAGCGGAAUUCCACGUGUAGCGGUGAAAUGCGUAGAGAUGUGGAGGAACACCAGUGGCGAAGGCGGCUUUCUGGUCUGUAACUGACGCUGAGGCGCGAAAGCGUGGGGAGCAAACAGGAUUAGAUACCCUGGUAGUCCACGCCGUAAACGAUGAGUGCUAAGUGUUAGGGGGUUUCCGCCCCUUAGUGCUGCAGCUAACGCAUUAAGCACUCCGCCUGGGGAGUACGGCCGCAAAGGCUG
rnacentral:rRNA from 1 species